CGGAGGAAAAGAACCAACAGGGAUUGCCCCAGUAACGGCGAGUGAAGCGGCAACAGCUCAAAUUUGAAAUCUGGCCCCCUCGGGGUCCGAGUUGUAAUUUGUAGAGGAUGCUUUUGGCGAGGUGCCGCCCGAGUUCCCUGGAACGGGACGCCGCAGAGGGUGAGAGCCCCGUCUGGCUGGCCACCGAGCCUCUGUAAAGCUCCUUCGACGAGUCGAGUAGUUUGGGAAUGCUGCUCAAAAUGGGAGGUAUAUGUCUUCUAAAGCUAAAUAUUGGCCAGAGACCGAUAGCGCACAAGUAGAGUGAUCGAAAGAUGAAAAGCACCUUGAAAAGAGGGUUAAAUAGUACGUGAAAUUGUUGAAAGGGAAGCGCCUGUGACCAGACUUGGGCGCGGCGGAUCAUCCGGGGUUCUCUCCGGUGCACUUCGCCGCGUCCAGGCCAGCAUCAGUUCGCCGCGGGGGACAAAGGCUUCGGGAACGUGGCUCCCCCGGGAGUGUUAUAGCCCGUUGCGCAAUACCCUGCGGUGGACUGAGGACCGCGCAUCUGCAAGGAUGCUGGCGUAAUGGUCACCAGCGACCCGUCUUGAAACACGGACCAAGGAGUCGUCUUCGUAUGCGAGUGUUCGGGUGUCAAACCCCUACGCGUAAUGAAAGUGAACGCAGGUGAGAGCUUCGGCGCAUCAUCGACCGAUCCUGAUGUUCUCGGAUGGAUUUGAGUAGGAGCAUACGGGGCCGGACCCGAAAGAAGGUGAACUAUGCCUGUAUAGGGUGAAGCCAGAGGAAACUCUGGUGGAGGCUCGCAGCGGUUCUGACGUGCAAAUCGAUCGUCAAAUAUGGGCAUGGGGGCGAAAGACUAAUCGAACCUUCUAGUAGC
rnacentral:rRNA from 1 species